rnacentral:rRNA from 1 species
ACCAGACUCCUACGGGAGGCAGCAGUGGGGGAUAUUGCACAAUGGGGGGAACCCUGAUGCAGCGACGCCGCGUGGGUGAAGGAGCGUUUCGGCGCGUAAAGCCCUAUCGGCAGGGAAGAAGGAGGACGGUACCUGACUAAGAAGCCCCGGCUAACUACGUGCCAGCAGCCGCGGUAAUACGUAGGGGGCAAGCGUUAUCCGGAUUUACUGGGUGUAAAGGGAGCGUAGACGGCAGUGCAAGUCCGGAGUGAAAGCCCGGGGCUCAACCCUGGGACUGCUCUGGAAACUGUAAAGCUGGAGUGCGGGAGGGGCAGGCGGAAUUCCUGGUGUAGCGGUGAAAUGCGUAGAUAUCAGGAGGAACACCGGCGGCGAAGGCGGCCUGCUGGACCGUAACUGACGUUGAGGCUCGAGAGCGUGGGGAGCAAACAGGAUUAGAUACCCGGGUAA